CAUUGCCUCAGUACGGCGAGUGAAGCGGCAAAAGCUCAAAUUUGAAACCCUCGGGAUUGUAAUUUGAAGAUUUGGCAUUGGAGAAAGCUAACCCAAGUUGCUUGGAAUAGUACGUCAUAGAGGGUGACAACCCCGUCUGGCUAACCGUUCUCCAUGUAUUGCCUUAUCAAAGAGUCGAGUUGUUUGGGAAUGCAGCUCAAAGUGGGUGGUAAACUCCAUCUAAAGCUAAAUACUGGUGAGAGACCGAUAGCGAACAAGUACUGUGAAGGAAAGGUGAAAAGAACUUUGAAAAGAGAGUGAAAUAGUAUGUGAAAUUGUUGAUAGGGAAGGAAAUGAGUGGAGAGUGGCCGAGGUUUCAGCCGCCCCUCGUGGGCGGUGUACUGCCGACGCCGAGUCAUCGAUAGCGAGACGAGGGUUACAAAUGGGAGCGCCUUC
rnacentral:rRNA from 1 species